GUYUUUAUGAAAAUAAUUUAAAGUCAGGCCUGCCCAAUGAUUUUUUUAAUGGCCGUGGUAUUUUGACCAUGCAAAGGUAGCAUAAUCAUUAGUUUUUUAAUUGAAAGCUGGAAUGAAGGGUUUGAUAAGAAAAUUUCUGUCUCAGAAUUAAAAAUUGAAUUUUAUAUUUAAGUUAAAAAGCUUAAAUAGAAUUAAAAGACGAGAAGACCCUAUAGAGUUUAAUAUAACUAAAAUUAAUAGUUUAAGAUUAAAGAGGUUAAUUUGAAUUUAUAUUUAAUUGGGGUGAUUAAAAAAUUUAAAGAACUUUUUUUUUUAUAUUAAACAUAGAUUUAUGAAUAAUUGAUCCAUAGAAAUGAUUAAAAGAUUAAAUUACCUUAGGGAUAACAGCGUAAUUUUUUUUAAUAGUUCAUAUUGAAAAAAAAGAUUGCGACCUCGAUGUUGGAUUAAAAUUAAAAAUUGGUGGAGAAGCUAGUUGAUUAAGUCUGUUCRACUUUUAAAAUUUUACA
rnacentral:rRNA from 1 species